rnacentral:lncRNA from 1 species
CUGGGACCAAGGUAAACAUACAAGAAGUUGUGUUCACUUUCUUAGGACUCCAGAGAUCCAUUAUGUGGGCUAAGAUGUACAUUUAAUCAGCGUAGCUUAAAGGAUUGGAAGAAUUCAGGCGCCUUCCCGAAAGGCUGAUGUUUCCCCUGGGGAACGGCUUGCAUAUGGGGAUUAUUAUUGAGAAUCAUUACUUAACAAUUUGCUCUACCAAAUUCUGCAAUAACCAGAGACUAACUCUAAUGGAAGAUUGGGAGUGUUUUAAGAUAAUACCAUCUGCGAUUGCAGCCUUUAUUCUACAUGAUGUCUUUGCCUUCUUUGGGGGACUUCAUUUGUCCUGGACCACAGAACCACACAUUUUCUGAGUUGGAAGUGUUUCUGUCCUUUUAUUUUGCAUUUCUGUGAUAACCAUUGCCUCCUGUGCUCUGGAUUUUCCUGUCUUCUUCCCUUCACCUAUGUGUGUUCAGCGGGUGUCUCACAAAGGUAGGAAUCUGUAAAAGGCAGCCGGAUUUAAUCUGUCUUUGAAACCAUGGGGGGCUAUAAUAAAGUUCACUGCUGAGAGAAAUUACUCUGAGUGCUUCAAACAGGCAAUUCUAAGUACCUGAACGGUUUUUCUAUCACAGCAUUAUUAACAAGACCCUUCAAUACUCUUCUUGGCCAUUUUCUCCAUUUAGGGACAAGAUUGGGAAAAUCUGAGUCUCAGCUUUAGCUCUGCCAUCUAGAAUUAUUUCACCUUCUUGAGCCUCAGCGUCCUAACCUGUAAAAUGGGAAUAGUAACAGUGGACUUGCCUAUUUCAGUGUUGUUAUAAGGAACAAAUGAGAUAUAUGUCAACAUACUUGUAAACCAUAUUCUGUAGAUGUAAGCUGUUAAUAUUGCUAUGACUACCCAUGGAUUGAGAUACAAGUGGUUGUUUUCCUUUCAGCUCUCUUCUUAUGACAAGUGGUCAUUUCAAGCAUGAGGACUUGGCUCAGAUGGUGUAGAAACAUGCUGCUGAAUGUCAGUAACACCUCUGGACUUCAUUCAUUCACAAAAGUGAAGAAGAACACCACCAAAUUCAGGAACUUUGCAUGAGGAGUUCUAUUAAUGUCAUGUCUUGUCUACUUCCUGAGAGAAGACAGUUGAGAACUUCUAGAAUUCUAAUCAGUGAUAUCUUACCUAUUUUUAAAGGACUAACUUUAGAACUGAGGACUUUGUAAAUAAGAAGUAAAUUAUCCAAAAGGUAAAAUGUAACAGUUAAGAGUUUGGGCUUUGG